CUUAAAAGGAAUUGACGGGACCCGCACAAGCGGUGGAGUAUGUGGCUUAAUUCGAUGCAACGCGAAGAACCUUACCAAGGCUUGACAUGGAUUUCUAAGCACGUGAAAGCGUGUGACCCUUCGGGGACUUCCACAGGUGCUGCAUGGCCGUCGUCAGCUCGUGUCGUGAGAUGUUGGGUUAAGUCCCGCAACGAGCGCAACCCUUGUGACUAGUUGCCAGCACGUAAUGUGGGAACUCUAGUCAGACUGCCCAGAUCAACUGGGAGGAAGGUGGGGACGACGUCAGGUCAGUAUGGCCCUUACGCCUUGGGCUGCACACGUACUACAAUGCCCAGUACAAUGAGAACCGAUACCGCGAGGUGGAGGAAAUCUGUAAAACUGGGCCCAGUUCGGAUUGGAGGCUGCAACUCGCCUCCAUGAAGUUGGAAUCGCUAGUAAUGGCGCAUCAUCUACGGCGCCGUGAAUACGUUCCCGGGUCUU
rnacentral:rRNA from 1 species